rnacentral:misc_RNA from 1 species
AAAUUGCAGUCUUUUUGUUUUUUUUUUUUUUUGGGAUUUUAGGUUUAUUGGAUUUGACAAAGGAUUGAAAAUUCAUAGCAAAUGACUACUCAUUGCUGAGAUUUGCCCAUGAUUGUGGAGUUUUGACUGUUUGGUUGUUGUGGAAUUGUAAUCUUGAAGUGAAUAUGGUUAUGUUCAUUUGAUUGUGUAGCUGCGGAAAUAGGAUUGAUAGAAUUUUGAGUUAUAUAGUUUAGAUUAUUUUCUUUAUUUCUCUAGG